rnacentral:rRNA from 1 species
UGGGGAAUUUUGGACAAUGGGCGCAAGCCUGAUCCAGCCAUGCCGCGUGCAGGAUGAAGGCCCUCGGGUUGUAAACUGCUUUUGUACGGAACGAAAAGCCUCUUUCUAAUAAAGAGGAGUGAUGACGGUACCGUAAGAAUAAGCACCGGCUAACUACGUGCCAGCAGCCGCGGUAAUACGUAGGGUGCGAGCGUUAAUCGGAAUUACUGGGCGUAAAGCGUGCGCAGGCGGUCUUGCAAGACAGUGGUGAAAUCCCCGGGCUCAACCUGGGAACUGCCAUUGUGACUGCAAGGCUGGAGUACGGCAGAGGGGGAUGGAAUUCCGCGUGUAGCAGUGAAAUGCGUAGAUAUGCGGAGGAACACCGAUGGCGAAGGCAGUCCCCUGGGCCUGUACUGACGCUCAUGCACGAAAGCGUGGGGAGCAAACA